rnacentral:lncRNA from 1 species
AUCUUAGAUGCAAACAGAGGAACAACAGCGAGCAUAUUCACACAUUUGCUCAAGCCUCUUGUCAGAAGCCAAUACCUUGUCCACCCUGGAGCUGUCCCUGGUCUCACUGCCCUGUGACCACCACCAGUAACACCAGGAAUGACUCUUUGCUUCAGUGAUCCCACAGACCCUGCUGGAGUCAGCGAUGAAGACCUAAAGGGGGUUCCAUGUCCUUGGCAUAGAAGCAGAAGGCCUGGGAAGGUGGACCCAAGGCUAGCAAUCUGCUUAGCAGGUGUCACAGGAAGGGGGUGAGUGUGGCUCCUGAGGAUGUCCAAGGAUGUGCCCUGGCUAUCAGGCAGCAU